rnacentral:lncRNA from 1 species
CUGGAUUUCAUAAUACCAAUCUUUUACGAUUGUAUUGCCCAUGUAAAUAGCAUCUCUAUGUUGCUAGCUUUUUAUUUCCUAUCUGCAAAUAAUCUGUGUAUAAAAUCAUAUUCAGUGUCUAGUUUUAAGUAAUAAUAUUGUUGGUAAUAGGAUUGUAAAAUUAGGCUACCAUUUGAGUUUAGAAAAUAAGGCGAGGAACCCAGAAUAUACAGGGAUUCCUUUUGAAAUUUGGUGGUGGGUGAUAAGAAUUACAGAUACAAAUACAGAUUUUAGAAAUCAAGAUAUUAACACAAGAAAGAAAAUGAAAUCACAGAAUCCAGAUGCACUAUUAUGUUGAUCAGAUGAAACUGGCUUUUUAACAAUCCCGUCUUCUGUUUUCAUUUCCAGCCACAUGUCCAUAAUCACUGAACAUUGUUUUCAAUUCCAAAAACCAAGCUUUAUUGACAUCAAUUUCCCUGAUGAACAUAGAUGCAAGAAAUCUCCCCAAAAUACUAGCAAACUGAAAAGGAUCACGUUCCAUAAUCAACAGUAAUUGAUCUUUGGGAUGCAAGAAUGUUUCAACAAAUGCAAAUCAAUAAAGGUGAUAAACGACAUUAAUAGAGUGAAGCAUAAAUAUCAUUUCAUACCAUCAUCUCAAUAGAUGCAGGAAAAGCCCUUGACAAAAUUCAACAUUCAUUUAUGACAAAAACUCUAAACAAAUUAGGUAUGGAAGGAAUAUACAUCAAAUAACAAAGGCUGUAUAUGACCAACCAAUAGCAACAUCAUAUUCAAUGGUAAAAAAAGCUGAAAGCUUUUCCUCUAAGCUUUUCCUCUUACCACUUCUAUUCAAUAUCAGAAAGGGAGACAGAACAUAAAGACUCCUAACUCUGGGAAACGAACUAGGGGUGGUGGGAGGGGAGGAGGGUGGGGGGUGGGGGUGAAUGGGUGACGGGCACUGGGGGGGCACUUGACGGGAUGAGCACUGGGUGUUAUUCUGUAUGUUGGUAAAUUGAACACCAAUAAAAAAUAAAUUUAUUAAAAAAAUAUAGUACUGGCAAUUCAGGUCCAAGCAAUUAGGAAGAAUAAGUAAAUAAAUAAAUGGCAUCCAAUAGGAAAGGAAGGAUUUAAGCUGUCUCUAUUUGUAAAUGAAAUGACCUUAUAUAAGGAAAACCCUGAAGAUUCCACCAAAAAAGCUAUUAGAAUUAGUAAAUGAAUUGAGUAAAGUUGUGGGACAUAAAAUCAACAUACGAAAAUCAGUUGUGUUUAUGUACACUAAUAACAAAGUAUCCAAAAAAGAAACAAUCUCGUUUAUAGUAGCUUCAAAAACCAAACAAAACCAAAUCAAAAUUUAGGAAUAAAAUUAACCAAG